UACAUAUAGUUUUUAGUUUAGUUUAUAUGUCAUAGGUCUGAUUUGGUUUAAGAACAACAAUCACGAAUAUUUUAUGAUUUUUCCUAAGCUUUUUUCUCGUUUCCCACGGUCAAUGUCCAGCGCGUCCCGCUGUUCUGCGCAGUGUUCACAAAAAAAGAAGAUGUGGGCUGACAUAGAGACAGAACAGUUGACGUCGAAAGGCCAGUUGACUCUGCAGGAACUGGAGCCUGCUUUAUGCCAUCGCGCCUACGCGCUAUUUGCACCCUAAUUAACUAAAAAGGAUGGAGUAUUUAGUAAAGUCCAAAAAAAUUAAUUGAACGGAGACCGACAUCCAAAUUGAUUUCCAGGAGGGUCAAUGUUUGAUGCGCCUUUUCGUGGAUACAUAAUUUGAGACGUACCUAAACGUGGGCCUGGCGCCCAGCCACAUGCAAUUUUUUUUUAAGAAACCACAUGCAAUUUAAAGUUGCAAGUAGUAUAGUAUAUGCACGUAUACUCUACAGUGUACAAGAAAACACGGAAAUACUUACCUUUGGAUCGAGACGUCACUCUUUCUCAUUCGGUUAAGUUUUUUUUUUUUUAGGAACGGGCAGGUUAAGAAGAAAUAGAUGAAUAUUUAAAGGGGCAAUGUUUUAAGAGCGUAACAUGCCAAACACACAAUCAAAAGAACAAAUUCUAAUCCGGUUUAAUGGCAAAGCCAGCGGUAGGCAAACCGAAGGCCAAGUUCCGCUAGUUAAUCUCUUCAACCGCAAGAUGGGUGACCUCAACGUAAGUAAGGCGCGUAUGGUUGAAGAUUCGUCGGUUCCGUUUCUUCCAAACAUUUCACCAGACGUACAUGAGAUGGCCGCUUCGUCUUUUUCUCGGAACCUUGCC
rnacentral:lncRNA from 1 species